GACGAACGCUGGCGGCGUGCCUAAUACAUGCAAGUCGAACGCUGAAGGAGGACCUUGCUUCUCCGGUCGAGUUGCGAACGGGUGAGUAACGCGUAGGUAACCUGCCUGGUAGCGGGGGAUAACUAUUGGAAACGAUAGCUAAUACCGCAUAACAGUUGAUGUUGCAUGACAUUUGCUUAAAAGGUGCAAUUGCAUCGCUACCAGAUGGACCUGCGUUGUAUUUGGUAGUUGGUGCGGCAACGGCUCACUAAGGCGACGAUACAGAGCCGACCGGAGACGGGGGUCGGCCACACUGGGAGUGAGACAGGGCCCAGAGGCCUACGGGAAGGAGCAGUAGUGAAUCGUCGGCAAUGGACGGAAGUCUUAGCGAACAACGCCGAGUGAGUGAAGAAGGAUUUCGGAUCGGAAAGCACUGCUGUAGGGGAAGAACGAGGGUUAGAGUGGAAAGUUCACACUGUGACGGUAUCUUGACAGAAAGGAACGGCUAACUACGUG
rnacentral:rRNA from 1 species